UAAGACCUAACACUGCUAGUCCUAGUCCAGU
rnacentral:piRNA from 1 species